GUGGCAGUAGCUCAAUGGUAGAGCUCCCAGUUCGUACGCGGGAAGACCCGGGUCCGAUUCCCGGGUGCUUUC
rfam:Toxocara canis scaffold837, whole genome shotgun sequence.